AUGGCCACCGUUGGGAUCUGUGGGGCUCCUAAGGGGCUCUGUGGGGCAUUGUAUGUUUCUGUGGGGCACUGUGGAUCUCUGUGGGGCAACUAUGGGGCUCUGUGUGUACCCUGUGGGGCACUAUGGGGUCCCUGUGGGGCACUAAAGGGCUCUGUGGGUCACUAUGGGGCCCUAUGGGGCUCUGUGGGGCUCCUAUGGGGCUCUAUGCGUCCUCUGUGGGGCACUAUGGGGCUCUAUGGGGCUCUGUGCAUCUCCUGUGGGUCUCUGUGGGGCACUGUGGCGCUCUGUGGGGUCUCUCUGGGUCCCUCUGGUUCCAUGGGGGAGUUCUGUGGGUCACCGUGGGGUUUGUGGGCCACUACGGGGCCCUGUGGGUCCCCAGCCCCACACUUAGGGGGUCCUCCACCCCACACUUCGGGAUCCCCACCCCACACGUGUGGGUCCCGCCCCACAAGCGCCUGUCGGGACACGCCGGGCCCCUCUUGCCGGGCGCGUUGGGGCGUCAACCCCAUAACUUCGGGUCCCCCCCCGCCCUCCCCUGCAGCUGUGGGGCGGCGCUAUGGGGCGGCGCUAUGGGGCUGAGGGACGGCGUCAGGACCCCCCCCCCUCACCCCACAUCUCCGCCGUGGGGUUGUCCCCAUCGUGACCCCAUAGCGCGGGCGGUGGGGGAACCCGUCGGGUGACUCCGGGCUCCGCCCCACACAUCUCCCCACCCCAUAGAAGUGGGGCGCAGCCGUGUGGGGCACUGUGUCCAGGACCCCAUGGGUGCCCCACGGCUCGCCCUACUUCUCCUCCUCGUCCCCGCCGCUGCCCCUCUGCCCCACUGCGAUGGGGACGACUGGGAGCACGGCGCUGAGACAGGUAGGUGUGGGGCUGCCCCAUAAGUGUGGGGCAGAGCUGGGGUUUGGGGGAGAAGCAGUGGGGCGGCCCCAGAGCUGGAGGACGGCUUCACAUCUAUGGGGCAGCUCUGGGCACGUGGGGAUGCCCCAGAUCUGUAGAGCGGCCCCACAUCUGUGGGGCAGUUCUGGGUACGUGGGGAUGCUAUGAGGCAGCUUCAGGUCUAUGGGGCAGCCCCACAUCUGUGGGGCAGCUCUGGCCACGUGAGGAUGCUAUGGGGCAGCUUCAGAUGUGUGGGGCAGCCUCAGAUGCGUGGGGCAGCUCUGGGUGCAUGAGGUUGCUAUGGGGCAGCCCCACAUCUAGAGAACAGCCCCACAUCUAUGGGGCAGCCCUAGAAUUAUGGGGCAGUUUUAGAUCUAUGGGGCAGCCCUGGGGACAUGGAGAUACUAUGGGGCAGCCCCACAUCUAUAGGGCAGUUUUAUAUCUAUGGGGUAGCCCUGGGGACAUGGAGAUGCUACGGGGCAGCUCUAAAUCUAUGGCUCAGCCCCACAUCCGUAGGGCAGCCCCACACUUAUGGGUCAGCCCCACAUCCAUAGGGCAGCCCCAGAGUUACAGGGCAGCUCCGGGCACAUGGGAACGCAACGGGUGGGGCAGCCCCAAAUCAAUGGGGCGGCCCCACAUCCAUAGGGCAGAUGGGGACACGCAGCCUGGAGGGCCGCGCCCCAUAGCGCCCCACACCUCCGCC
ensembl:lncRNA